rnacentral:misc_RNA from 1 species
AUCUUCAAGUUAUGAGAUGAUAGAGCCUUUUUAGGCUUUAUUUAGUAGAGGUUGUAACUAGAAUAAAUUCAAGUCGUAUAGAUAGAUUUGAAAACUUCUAGGCGGAUGAUUCUCAGUUUUGAGAAAGCUAGAACUUUCUCAGUUUGCUUUUUGAAAGGAAAAGAUAAUAACCGAGUUAACUUAGAUAGUUAAUCAUACGUAAAUUAUUA